AACGCUGGCGGCGUGCCUAAUACAUGCAAGUCGAGCGAGGAGAUCCUUCGGGAUGAUCCUAGCGGCGGACGGGUGAGUAACACGUGGGCAACCUGCCUCAUAGAGAGGAAUAGCCUUCCGAAAGGGAGAUUAAUACCUCAUAACAUUGCAGUUUCGCAUGGAACAGCAAUUAAAGGAGUAAUCCGCUAUGAGAUGGGCCCGCGGCGCAUUAGCUAGUUGGUGAGGUAACGGCUCACCAAGGCGACGAUGCGUAGCCGACCUGAGAGGGUGAUCGGCCACAUUGGGACUGAGACACGGCCCAGACUCCUACGGGAGGCAGCAGUGGGGAAUAUUGCACAAUGGGGGAAACCCUGAUGCAAGCAACGCCGCGUGAGUGAUGACGGCCUUCGGGUUGUAAAGCUCUGUCUUCAGGGACGAUAAUGACGGUACCUGAGGAGGAAGCCACGGCUAACUACGUGCCAGCCGCAGC
rnacentral:rRNA from 1 species